rnacentral:rRNA from 1 species
UACGUAGGGCGCAAGCGUUAUCCGGAAUUAUUGGGCGUAAAGAGCUCGUAGGCGGUUUGUCGCGUCUGCCCGUGAAAAGUCCGGGGCUCAACUCCGGAUCUGCGGUGGGUACGGGCAGACUAGAGUGAUGUAGGGGGAGACUGGAAUUCCUGGUGUAGCGGUGAAAUGCGCAGAUAUCAGGAGGAACACCGGUGGCGAAGGCGGCUCUGGGCCUU